UACGGGGGGGGUAAGCGUUGUUCGGAAUUACUGGGGCGUAAAGGGCUCGUAGGCGGCCAACUAAGUCAUACGUGAAAUCCCUCAGCUUAACUGGGGAACUGCGUGUGAUACUGGGAUGGCUUGGAUUGGGAGAGGGAUGCGGAAUUCCAGGUGUAGCGGUGAAAUGCGUAGAUAUCUGGAGGAACACCGGUGGCGAAGGCGAGUCCCUGGCAACUCCUGACACUGAGGCACGAAAGCUAGGG
rnacentral:rRNA from 1 species